rnacentral:rRNA from 1 species
GACGAACGCUGGCGGCGUGCCUAACACAUGCAAGUCGAACGGAAAGGCCCUGCUUUUGUGGGGUGCUCGUGUGGCGAACGGGUGAGUAACACGUGUGUAACCUGCCCCUGACUUUGGGAUAACUUCUGGAAACUGGGGCUAUUACCCGAUAGGAGCUCCUGCAGCACGGUGGGGGUUGGAAAGUUUCGGCGGUUCGGGAUGGACUCGCGGCUUAUCAGCUUGUUGGUGGGGUUGUGGCUUACCUAGGCUUUGACGGGUAGCCGGCCUGAGAGGGGGAUCGGCGACCUUGGAAGGGGGACGGGGUCCAUGGUCCUACGGGAGGCACCAGUCGCGAACGGUCGGCAACGGGGGAAAGUAUUACGCAGUAAGGGCGAGCGUGUUACGACGGCCCCCGGGUCGGAAAGCCCUCCUUCGGGUUAUGAACCGCUUUCGCCUGAGACAAGGCCUGAGUGACGGUAAUGGGUCAAGAAGCACCGGCUAACUACGUG